UACAGAGGGGGCAAGCGUUAUUCGGAAUUAUUGGGCGUAAAGGGCGCGUAGGCGGCUUGGCAAGUGGAUGGUGAAAUCCCUCGGCUUAACCGAGGAACUGCCGUCCAAACUGCUUCGCUUGAGACCGGGAGAGGUGAGUGGAAUUCCCAGUGUAGCGGUGAAAUGCGUAGAUAUUGGGAGGAACACCAGUGGCGAAGGCGGCUCACUGGACCGGUACUGACGCUGAUGCGCGAAAGCGUGGGGAGCAAACAGGGAUUAAGAUACCCUU
rnacentral:rRNA from 1 species